AUUACUCUCAUUAUUAUGAAUAUACAAUGGCUUUUACUCAUGUUUGGCUGAGGAAGCAAAGAUGAGUUAUAUAAGCUGUAAUAGUACAGAAAAUAUUUACCUUUUCCAUUAUGACAACAAUUCUGAUAUCACAUAUUUAGCAUGCCAUGAUAAUGAAUUCUGGGAACUGUGCAACUUUAUUGACUGCAUUCUAAAGACAAACAUUUUCAUGACUGAUAAUGGUCAUUUUGUCAAAAG